rnacentral:rRNA from 1 species
GAUGAACGCUGGCGGCGUGCCUAAUACAUGCAAGUCGAGCGAACAGACGAGGAGCUUGCUCCUCUGACGUUAGCGGCGGACGGGUGAGUAACACGUGGAUAACCCACCUAUAAGACUGGGAUAACUUCGGGAAACCGGAGCUAAUACCGGAUAAUAUAUUGGACCGCAUGGUUCAAUAGUGAAAGACGGUUUUGCUGUCACUUAUAGAUGGAUCCGCGCCGCAUUAGCUAGUUGGUAAGGUAACGGCUUACCAAGGCAACGAUGCGUAGCCGACCUGAGAGGGUGAUCGGCCACACUGGAACUGAGACACGGUCCAGACUCCUACGGGAGGCAGCAGUAGGGAAUCUUCCGCAAUGGGCGAAAGCCUGACGGAGCAACGCCGCGUGAGUGAUGAAGGUCUUCGGAUCGUAAAACUCUGUUAUUAGGGAAGAACAAAUGUGUAAGUAACUAUGCACGUCUUGACGGUACCUAAUCAGAAAGCCACGGCUAACUACGUG